rnacentral:tmRNA from 1 species
GGGGGCGAUUCAGUUUCGAUCGGGCGUAUUCGUUUUGAAGUAAGCAUACCGAAGGCUCGGCUUCGUAAAAACGAGAUUUUAAAUUUAAAUGCUAAUAAUAACAAUCAAUUAGCUUACGCUGCUUAAUUUAAGCGUAUGUCCUGUUUUAUUUUUCCCGUCGGGUAAAAUAAGGGCAUCAAUCAAGACGGGGAACGGCAAAAAGUUUUAUUCGCGGAUUUUUUGCGGCUUUUAGCGGAAGUGGAAAAAAUAUAGGUUGCCGAUAACCGUGUUUUUUUCGAGAGUUAACGUUCGGAUAAGUAUGUAGAAGGUCAAAAGGAAGCGUUCGAGACCGGAGUGCAACUCUCCGCGCCUCCACCA